CAACACACAGGCACACAACAUACGCAGACACACAACCUACAGAGACACAACAGACACGGACAGACACACCCACACACAACCCACAUGUAAAGAUGCACAACACACACACUAACAGACAAGACAUACACAACGCACAUGCACAGACACACAACGUACACAGACACACAGACACACAACACACACAUGGAUACACAAUAGACACAUAACAUAUACACAGACAUACACAAAAUAGACACAAAUACACACUGCCCUUCGCAUGGGGGUCUGGUCAGGGCGGCACCCCAGUCUCUGCCGCCCGGCUGUGCUCCAGCAGACACAGCGUCUCCACCAGCUGCUCCCCAGGGAGGCCAACUGACACCCCGGGGCUGGUCGGGCCCCAAGGGGACUCAGGGCCACACAGAGGUGGCAGACGGAAGGGCAGGAACCAGGUGACACAACAGGUAGUGAUUUGGGAGGACAGGUGGAGGUCGGGAGGAGGGUGAGGUUGAGGAAACCAGAUGGAGGCACUGACGGGGUGCCGAGGCAGAGAUUAACACUGUGCACAGAUGUGGACAAAUGGCAGGGCGCGGAGCAGCGGGCUGCCGGCAUCCCGCAGCCUCUGGGCCCCAGCGCUCACACAGCCCUCAGCUCAGCCACCAAGAACCAGAGGCAGUAGCCAAGUCAACCCACCAGCCCGCAGCCCCCCAGGGAGCCCUCAGACACUGUCCCCUCGUGCCAAGGAGAGACUCACAGCCACGCCAACAGAGAGCCCCUCCCCCAGGUGCCUGGGGCAGAUGGAACAGCGCUCAGCUAAAGCCCCUCCAGAGUACUCACCAGCUAGAAGGCUCCAGGCCUUUCCACCUGCCGAAAGGUGCCAGGCAGCAGCCAUGGCUCAAAGGACACCUGCAAGCAGAACCCGGGGACCCGGGCACCCAGCUUCCAAGUACACGGGAGCACCCAGCAGCCCCCCGGGUCUCUGGCAGCGCAGCCUGGCGGCUAGGAGCCAGGGUCCUGGAGGCGGACGGGGCCAUCCGGUCCUUCUGAAACACGGUGCUGUUGGGGAGGGACACUAG
rnacentral:lncRNA from 1 species